UGCCAGCCGCCGCGGUAAUACGUAGGGUGCAAGCGUUAAUCGGAAUUACUGGGCGUAAAGCGUGCGCAGGCGGUUUUGUAAGUCUGAUGUGAAAUCCCCGGGCUCAACCUGGGAAUUGCAUUGGAGACUGCAAGGCUAGAAUCUGGCAGAGGGGGGUAGAAUUCCACGUGUAGCAGUGAAAUGCGUAGAUAUGUGGAGGAACACCGAUGGCGAAGGCAGCCCCCUGGGUCAAGAUUGACGCUCAUGCACGAAAGCGUGGGGAGCAAACAGGAUUAGAUACCCUGGUAGUCCACGCCCUAAACGAUGUCUACUAGUUGUCGGGUCUUAAUUGACUUGGUAACGCAGCUAACGCGUGAAGUAGACCGCCUGGGGAGUACGGUCGCAAGAUUAAAACUCAAAUAAAUUGACGG
rnacentral:rRNA from 1 species